rnacentral:rRNA from 1 species
GUCUGUUUGAUUUAAUCUUCAGUCUAGCCUGCCCAUUGAUUUUUUUAAAAGGCCGCGGUAUUAUGACCGUGCGAAGGUAGCAUAAUAAUUAGUCUUUUAAUUGAAGACUGGAAUGAAGGGCUGGACAAAAAAUAAGCUGUCUCAAAACUAUAAAUUGAAUUUAACUUUUAAGUGAAAAGGCUUAAAUAAUCUUAAAAGACGACAAGACCCUAUAAAACUUUAUAUUAAACAUUAAUAGUUUAUUAAUUUUUAAGUUUAACUAAAACUUUUAAUUUAUAUAUUAUGUUGGGGCGACAAAAGCACAAAUUAAUUAACUGCUUUCUUUUUUAUACAAUAAUAUUUGCUUAAACGAUCCUUUUUAAGAUUUUAAGAAAAAGUUACUUUAGGGAUAACAGCGUAAUUUUUUUUGAGAGUUCUUAUCGACAAAAAAGUUUGCGACCUCGAUGUUGAAUUAAAGUUCCAUUAUAGUGCAGCAACUAUAAAGAGUAGGUCUGUUCGACCUUUAAAACUUUACAUGAUUUGAGUUCAAACCGGUGUAAG